UUGUUGUCCUGGUCCAUGUUUGAAGCACUGGAAGCUGCGUGUGACAGAGAGCAGGAUGAAGCCAUGCGUUAUUUACGACUGAACAGUGAGACGUUCACUGACAGCUGGAGACAGUAAGUUGCUGACUGCUGACGUAGCUUAAAGUGUAACGAGCAAUGGUUUCUGUCUGAAUCGCAGCUAACGCGGUGAUGUUGAUGGGAAACGUGUUCACGGUAUAAUUAUUGGUUUCAACUGGAACGCUAAGACUGACUGACCAGGUAUAACAACAUGUCAUGAAUAAUCAUACCCACUGGACCAAGCUGUCAUUGCAAUGUGCAAGGGCUGUUCAUUGGGCCAUUUGGACCACAACUGCCUUCCAGGUUCUGUCUUUGUCAAAUUCCUGCAGCGUUCCAUUAGAUGCUUGCUGCUGAGGGAGCAAAACAGGAAGAUGGAGGAAGAGAGAGAGAUUGGAGAGAUGAAAUGUGGAAGAGAUAAAUGAUGUGUGAAGG